rnacentral:misc_RNA from 1 species
GGUUAGUUGCUGUCUUCAAUCAGCAUUUCUAAUGAUUUUAAUUAUCUUGGUCUCACUGCUUGCAAAAACCACCUCCUUAUUACUAAAUCACUUGUUCUUCAGAUACCUGAACUAUAUAGAUUCAGCUGUAUUCAAACUAGCUGCAUAUUCUUAAUCAGUGUCCACUUAAUUCAUUUGGGGUUGUUUAUCAUGGAAAACCUUCUUACUGGCUUGCAGCCUGAUUAUCAGUUUUCUGUUGGUUAUUUCACUUCAUAGAAAAGUACUCCUAUUGCUCUAAGAAUCAUUUGGAAGAAUUUAAAAUCUUCAUUUCUUCAAUUCCUUCAUUUUAGAUGCUAUUACUUUAUGCAACUUCAAUGGCUUUGGAUGGA